UUAAGUGUCGUAAGGGCAUUUGGUGGAUGCCUUGGCAUGCACAGGCGAUGAAGGACGUGAUACGCUGCGAAAAGCCGUGGGGAGCUGCGAAUAAGCUUUGAUCCAUGGAUCUCCGAAUGGGGCAACCCACCUUAAAUGCUUGGAAAAUCAUUUUGGUUGUCGAACCUUCGGUUCGACGUUACGGCGAACGAUCGCCGACGGCCUCUGGCCUGUAUGGGAACUUCCCAAUACAGCGCGAGACGCGCGUCGCCGGUCGUCCGGCGCAAGAACCAAAAUGGUUUCCAAGCAUUGUGAUAAGGUAUCUGCACCUGAAUAAAAUAGGGUGUAAGAAGCGAACGCAGGGAACUGAAACAUCUAAGUACCUGCAGGAAAGGACAUCAACCGAGACUCCGCAAGUAGUGGCGAGCGAACGCGGACCAGGCCAGUGGCAAUUGUGUUUAAAGCGGAACAAUCUGGAAAGUUUGGCCGUAGCGGGUGACAGCCCCGUACGCGUAGAUAGCAUGAUUGUCCUAGAGUAGGGCGGGACACGAGAAAUCCUGUCUGAACAUGGGGAGACCACUCUCCAAGCCUAAGUACUCGUGCAUGACCGAUAGCGAACAAGUACCGUGAGGGAAAGGUGAAAAGCACCCCGACAAGGGGAGUGAAAUAGAACCUGAAACCGGAUGCCUACAAACAGUCGGAGCCCGCAAGGGUGACGGCGUACCUUUUGUAUAAUGGGUCAACGACUUAGUGUAACAAGCAAGCUUAAGCCGGUAGGUGUAGGCGAAGCGAAAGCGAGUCUGAACAGGGCGAUUUAGUUUGUUGCAUUAGACCCGAAACCGAGUGAUCUAGCCAUGAGCAGGUUGAAGGUUGGGUAACACCAACUGGAGGACCGAACCCGCAUCUGUUGCAAUAGAUUGGGAUGACUUGUGGCUAGGGGUGAAAGGCCAAUCAAACUCGGAAAUAGCUGGUUCUCCGCGAAAUCUAUUUAGGUAGAGCGUCGACCGAAUACCCUGGGGGGUAGAGCACUGGAUGGGCUAUGGGGACUCACCGUCUUACUGAUCCUAACCAAACUCCGAAUACCCAGGAGUACUAGUCGGCAGACACACGGCGGGUGCUAACGUCCGUCGUGAAAAGGGCAACAACCCUAACCUCCAGCUAAGGUCCCCAAGUCAUGGCUAAGUGGGAAAGGAUGUGAGGAUCCCAAAACAACCAGGAUGUUGGCUUAGAAGCAGCCAUCAUUUAAAGAAAGCGUAACAGCUCACUGGUCUAAAUAAGGGUCUUUGCGCCGAAAAUGUAACGGGGCUGAAGCCAUGCACCGAAGCUGAGGAUGUGUAGCAAUACACGUGGUAGCGGAGCGUUCCGUAAGCUGAUGAAGGGAGACCCGUGAGGGCUCCUGGAGGUAUCGGAAGUGCGAAUGUUGACAUGAGUAACGAUAAAGAGGGUGAGAGACCCUCUCGCCGAAAGACCAAGGGUUCCUGCUUAAAGUUAAUCUGAGCAGGGUUAGCCGGCCCCUAAGACGAGGCGGACACGCGUAGUCGAUGGGAACCACGUUAAUAUUCGUGGGCCUGGUGGUAGUGACGGAUUGCUCAACUUGUGAGGUCUUAUUGGAUUGAUCUUGCAGGGACGCGGUUCCAGGAAAUAGCUCCACCGUAUAGACCGUACCCGAAACCGACACAGGUGGUCAGGUAGAGUAUACCAAGGCGCUUGAGAGAACUAUGUUGAAGGAACUCGGCAAAUUGCACGCGUAACUUCGGAAGAAGCGUGACCCCAUUUUACGCAAGUGAAGUGGGGUGGCACAGACCAGGGGGUAGCGACUGUUUAUCAAAAACACAGGGCUCUGCGAAGUCGCAAGACGACGUAUAGGGUCUGACGCCUGCCCGGUGCUGGAAGGUUAAGAGGAGAGGUGCAAGCUUUGAAUCGAAGCCCCAGUAAACGGCGGCCGUAACUAUAACGGUCCUAAGGUAGCGAAAUUCCUUGUCGGGUAAGUUCCGACCUGCACGAAUGGCGUAACGACUUCCCCGCUGUCUCCAACAUAGACUCAGUGAAAUUGAAUUCCCCGUGAAGAUGCGGGGUUCCUGCGGUCAGACGGAAAGACCCCGUGCACCUUUACUAUAGCUUUACACUGGCAUUCGUGUCGGCAUGUGUAGGAUAGGUGGUAGGCUUUGAAGCAGGGACGCCAGUUUCUGUGGAGCCAUCCUUGAAAUACCACCCUUAUCGUCAUGGAUGUCUAACCGCGGUCCGUUAUCCGGAUCCGGGACAGUGUAUGGUGGGUAGUUUGACUGGGGCGGUCGCCUCCGAAAGAGUAACGGAGGCGCGCGAUGGUGGGCUCAGACCGGUCGGAAAUCGGUCGUCGAGUGCAAUGGCAUAAGCCCGCCUGACUGCGAGACUGACAAGUCG
rnacentral:rRNA from 1 species